GCUGAAGAACGUAGCGAAAUGCGAAAAGUAAUGUGAAUUGCAGAAUUCAGUGAAUCAUCGAAUCUUUGAACGCACAUUGCGCCCGCCAGUAUUCUGGCGGGCAUGCCUGUCUGAGCGUCAUUUCAACCCUCACGCCCCUAGGGCGUGGUGUUGGGGAUCGGCCAAGGCCCGCAAGGGACGGCCGGCCCCUAAAUCUAGUGGCGGACCCAUCGUGGCCUCCCCUGCGAAGUAGUAAUAUAUUCCGCAUCGGAUAGCGAUGAGCCCCUGCCGUUAAACCCCCAACUCUUUCAAGGUUGACCUCAGAUCAGGUAGGAAUACCCGCUGAACUUAAGCAUAUCAAUAAGCGGAGGA
rnacentral:misc_RNA from 1 species